GCCCUAGUAGCUCAGCCUUAAAGCGCCGGUCUUGUAAUCCGGAGAUCGGGGGUUAAAGUCCCCCCUAGUGCC
rnacentral:tRNA from 1 species